ACCUGGCACCAUAACAGCUGCCUAUACAUGUUCUAAAGCUUUGAAUAAAUACAUAUUUUAAAGCUAUGAAGAACAAGGGUAAAAUUCAUUGAAGUGAUCGCAAUUUUGUUAUUGACUUGAAGGGUUUCUGGAUUUUAUCCCAAGGAAAGUUAAUGAUUAAUUCCAUAUACUUGUUUUGACAAGAAUAAAUUAGGAAAGUAGAAAACAAUGUAGACUGUCAAUAAAAACAUUCAGAUCCUCUAACACCAGCUGUGGCAAUGGAUAUUAAAUCAAGGAAUGAUAUUCCCAUUGCUGAGAGAAAUAACCAGCAUUCUUUGUAGGUAAGGAAACAACUGAAGAAUAUUAUUUAUUAGAAAUGUGGUUAAUCGUCUAGUCUUUUCAAAUGAAAAGCACUAGUAUAUACAUAAGGAAAAUGAAUCUUUCACUCUACAAGGUAUCUCUGGCAAAUUAUUCAGUGGUAAUGUACAGACAUACCUUCUUUCAUUCUCAUCAGAAAAUGAGUAUUAACAAGCAGACAUGUGGGAUGAACAGCAGCUAAAUGGUACUUUAUUAUAUAAAUGAUCAAGGUUGUUGUAGGAAAGAAACUUUCAUGGCAUGAAAUACCAUUUUAUACAUAUUAAAAACAAAUCUUUUGAAAUAUU